GCCGCUGUGGUGGAAUGGUAGACACACGGCAUUCAAAAUGCUGCGGGAUUUCUCGUGUCGGUUCAAAUCCGACCAGCGGCA
rnacentral:tRNA from 2 species